UACGUAGGUGGCAAGCGUUGUCCGGAAUUAUUGGGCGUAAAGCGUGCGCAGGCGGUCCUUUAAGUCUGAUGUGAAAGCCCACGGCUCAACCGUGGAGGGUCAUUGGAAACUGGGGGACUUGAGUGCAGGAGAGAAGAGUGGAAUUCCACGUGUAGCGGUGAAAUGCGUAGAGAUGUGGAGGAACACCAGUGGCGAAGGCGGCUCACUGGACCGGUACUGACGCUGAAGCGCGAAAGCGUGGGGAGCAAACGGG
rnacentral:rRNA from 1 species